CAAAAUAUUUCAUGUAACUCAUUGCAGGUUCCAUAUUUACAAGUCUUCAGAGGCUUCUACGAAGAGUAUUGAGGUUCCUGCGAUGCCGCAGAGAUGAGAAUUUUGAAAUAAAACUUUCUGUGCACGAAACAUCACCACUAUACUCUGGCCAGAGCUCUGUCCGUCCAUGGUCUGAUGAUUAUGGAGAAGAUAAUGGCUAUAUAUAAAUAUUAUUAUCAAGGAAAUGAUGACCAACCAAGCUGUUGAACAGUUUGAUUUCAAAUCCUUUUUGAAGCACGCCAUGCAAGUCUGCACUUUUGUGAAAGAAACAAAUGACAACUUAAAGUAAGAGUUGACAUUCAUCAUACAGGAAAGGGAAUUUGAAGUCAGUAACUGUAUGUUUAAGUCAUCCAAUUUUGGUAAAAUAAUGUGAUAUCAUGGUUCUGUAUACUGAAAAUAAUGCACUUAAAUUGUACACGUUUGUGUAAUUUGCACUGUGUAUACAUACAACUGAUAUGGUUUAUUGUAAUGUCGAUGUAUUUGAUAGAUUUCAGUUACGUUUUAGAGCCAGUUAAUUAACUGAUAUCAAUGUUUUUUCUCUUAAUAUAAUUAAAUCGUAGUGCCUCCCCUGAUACACUUGAACGUGAGGAUUGACAUUUAGACACUAGGAACAACUUUUCCUCAGGGUUAGAAAUGUCAUGAUUCAUCAUUUAUUUUAUGUAAAUUUCCUUAAUUUCACAUGGAUGGGUUAUUUUUAACCCAUAAUGGGUAAAUAUUUGACAGAACACAUGCUGGGUUAAAACAGAGCUCACCAUGGAUAUUAAUAAUAACCCAUCAAUUGGGUUGAAACAACCCAGCAUUCGGUCAAUUUUAACCCAUUGGUGUGUUCUGUUCAAUAUUUACCCAUUAUGGGUAAAAAAUAACCCAGACAUUUUUAGAGUGUUAUUUUGGUACCGUUUUCCUGUUCCUUGGUAGAUGAAUGCGGAAGCAAUGCCAAAGUUAAUGCAUUUUAUUCCUCUGGUAAAUGUAUACUGAUAAACUCUAUGGGGAGUUUUUUCAGACAGGGCGUAUCCUAGUCCAAGACUAGAAUGCAUAUCUGAGCUGCUUUAAUUAAAAAAUAUCUUGCACUGACAUAUCUGAGCAUAUAUCAGUGCCAUUGU